rnacentral:lncRNA from 1 species
CCCCGUGCAAUUUAAGAGACUUUCUGUAUGCAGCUCCUGUCGUUCUUUGCCUAGUGUCGCAAUCUCCAGUUUUGCUCUUACUGUAUUUUCUCUGUGCACGUGUGUUCUUUGCGCCACGCCCUCUGGGAGCGAGGCACGAGGCUGGGCCCCUGAAGGACCCACGGCGUUCGAGUGUCCCGCCUCCAAGUGCCGUGAGACCUUCAGCUCCUGCAGCACCCGGUGGUUCGGAGCUGGCCGGCACAAAUGCAGGUCUUCUUGCAGCCUUUUGCUAGUCGGUGUGCUCAAGGAGAACUGUUCUUAAUCAAGAAUUCGGAGAUGGAAAGUGCAAAACUGUCUAUGGGGUGAGGCGCUUUAUAUUAACCUCUAUUUUAGACACACUACCUCGUUUAAGGGAAAGGGUUUCAGAGGUGGGAGUGCCCUCCAGCCUACACCGUCUGCUCCUGCACACACCUGUGGCUUCAGGCCUCACCAGCCUUGUGGCACUGGAGUUCUGCAGACUAACAAGGCACAGAACCCUGGUCCUUCUGUUUCAUUGGUGGCUUUCUGAAUUCCAAUAUGGCACUUAUUUUGAUGCUGCUUGUGCUACCACUGACUUGUCUCACGGAGAGUCUGCUUUGGAAAUUUCAUGAUUGACGUUUCCAAAUGCUACUAUCUGCUGGAUUUGGAUACCACAGCUGAAACCCCAAGGGAGCCAAGAUACUCCUCCAACGAAGAGGAGUGGGUAACCAUUGCCUACAAGCCAUUCCUAGAUACCUCCAGGUAUGUUUUACAUGUUUGAAAGGGAAUGCGAAAGUGUGACAGAUCUGUGAACUAUUUUCACGCAACAAUCAGCUUACAAUAGUAGUUAUACACAGCAAGGAAAGAAAUGUUGGCAAAUGCCAGCUUGAAAUCCAAUUUCCAGUAAAGGCAGCUUGCUGGCUACGGUAGAGCCACUGUCAAACUUGUAUGUGCACCUAGGUUGCUUUAGAGGAUGAAGCAAGUCAGGAAGAGUGGGGAACAAGGAUUAUUUUACAUCUUGUUGAUGUAAUGUUUUUUGUUUUCCUUUCUAAAGAAAUAAGGUGUAUGUCAUCUCUUCCAGUAGACUUCUGAAUCUUGUUUCAGCCAAAUUCAGUAGACAGGUGUAAGUCAGUCCCAAAGAGUGAACUCUCAGAAGUUUCACAAAAGCUGGCAGAAGAAGAGAGGAGGCAGCCACAGUGGGUGAAAGUGAUCAAGGUCGCACCUUUAUUAGACAUGGAGAAGUCCUGUAACAGACCCCUGUCAGAAUCCAGGUUUUCAUUAGUUCUGCUGCUCUCUUAGUAACUUGUUAGUGUAUUUGACAAAGAAUUUUUUUGAGAAGCAAAGGUUGCAAUUGCCAUCCUCCAGGCUAACAGUGGGAUCCAGCUUGUCAAACUAGGAGAGUUUUUAACGCAUCCCUACGAAAACAAACCCUCAGCUAUUUGGGGAUGGUUUUUCCACUGUUUCAAGCUUUGGCCAUGCAGUUGUCAUAUCAGGGCAGAGUGGUUGACUGGAAAAGUCUCUUAAACAAACAAACACUAACAGAGUUCAGUGCCUUCCUGUUUUCUAUAUGAGACCUUAUUAUUUCCUCCUAAUAGAUCCCUCCAGGGAGUGGGGCUGGUGAAAGCAGUUGGA